rnacentral:rRNA from 1 species
GACGAACGCUGGCGGCGUGCUUAACACAUGCAAGUCGAACGGAAAGGCCCCUUUGGGGGUACUCGAGUGGCGAACGGGUGAGUAACACGUGAGUAAUCUGCCCUUGACUUCGGGAUAACUUCAGUAAACUGGGGCUAAUACCGGAUAGGAAUCCUUGCUGCAUGGUGGGGGUUGGUAAGCUUCGGCGGUUUUGGAUGGACUCGCUGCUUAUCUGUUUGUUGGUGGGGUAGUGGCUUACCAAGGCUUUGACGGGUAGCCGGCCUGAGAGGGCGACCAGCCACAUUGGGACUGAGAUACGGCCCAGACUCAUACGGGAGGCAGAAGUGGAGAAUAUUGCAAAGUGGGCGGAAGCCUGAUGCAGCAACGCCGCGUGCGGGAUGACGGCCUUCGGGUUGAAAACCGCUUUCAGCAGGGGAGAAGCUUGUGGUGACGGUACCUGCAGAAGAAGCAACGGCUAACUACGUG